rnacentral:rRNA from 1 species
GUAGGUGGCAAGCGUUGUCCGGAGUUAUUGGGCGUAAAGCGCGCGCAGGUGGUUCUUUAAGUCUGAUGUGAAAGCCCCCGGCUCAACCGGGGAGGGUCAUUGGAAACUGGGGAACUUGAGUGCAGGAGAGGAAAGUGGAAUUCCACGUGUAGCGGUGAAAUGCGUAGAUAUGUGGAGGAACACCAGUGGCGAAGGCGACUUUCUGGCCUGUAACUGACACUGAGGCGCGAAAGCGUGGGGAGCAAACAGGGAUUAGAUACCCUGGUAGUCCACGCCGUAAACGAUGAGUGCUAAGUGUUGGGGGGGUUUCCGCCCCCUCAGUGCUGCAGCUAACGCAUUAAGCACUCCGCCUGGGAUACGGUCGCAAGACUG